ensembl:lncRNA
CUAAAAAUGGCAUGCAAGCUUUCUCAAAAAAAAAAAGUUUCGUUUACAGAAUGCCAGAAUAGGUCUGGUUUCCCUUUCAAUUGUUUCUCCUUCAUAUCAAUGAAGCUUGGGUCACAGAUUUCACGUGGCCUCUUCUUUGUUUGGAGAACAACGCUGGCACACUAGGUAUGGAGACUAAAGGAGAGAGGAGACUAGAGAACAGAGCCAGCUUCCCUCUGAGUCAGACACUGAAGGGCUGUGGGAAAGGGAGCUGGCCUCCAGGGCCUUCCGAUCUGACCACUUUUUCAAGCCACUCCUUUAUCUUGCAGGAAGGAGGAGGCCGAGCCCUCUUGCCACCAGAGAAGAUCAAUCAGGAUCCCUCUAAGGAAGGGACAGCCACAUAUCCUAGCCUGCCAAUGACACAGGAUGAAUUUCAAAGGAACAGAUAUGACGCUCCCCUGUCAUUCAGUCAUGGAGAGGUAAGUCUGAAUUUAUUUUCUAGGAAGCUAGAUCUUAUUAACAUACCAUGUAACUUUACUUCAAGAUAGCUCUUUCUAAAAACAGUAUUACUACCAUGCAGCCUUAAGUACCCAUACUCUGGAAACACUUAGAGGGAAUGAGAUGAUUGGGAGAAAGAAGAUGGAGAUCAGAUCUACUUGAAAGAAAUACAUCAUGAGGAAACUUGAAACUAUCGAAUACAGAGAAGUUUGAGAAUCUUUCUUAAUCUUAAUUAUUUGUUCUAUAUUUAUCUCCUUUUGUCACUGAUAAUGUGAUUUUCUGUACCCAAUAAAGGUAAAUGUAAGUAAUAUGUUUAGAAUUUAAUUGUGUAUUUCAUCAAGGAAAUGCCUUUCUUUCUUUCUUUUUUUUUUUUUUUUGAGACAGAGUCUCACUCUGUCACCCAGGCUAGAGUGCAGUGACACGAUCUCGGCCCACUGCAAACUCCACUUCCCGGGUUCAAGCACUUCUCCUGCCUCAACCUCCUGAGUAGCUGGGACUACAGGUACAUGCCACCAUGCAUGGCUAACUUUUGUAUUUUUAGUAGAGAUGAGGUUUUGUCACGUUGGCCAGGCUGGUCUUUAACUCUUGGCCUCAUGUGAUCUGCCUGCCUCUUCCUCCCAAAGUGCUAACAUAGGCGAGAGCCACCUUGCCCAGCUGCGGUUUAGAUUGUAAAAUUAUUAACUACUUUAAUGGGAUUUGUGUUACCAAGUGUCUUAAAAACCAGUGGUCUAGAAUUCAUUUUUAAACUAUACUCCUACUUCUGUCUGUUCUUUUUAAGUCAUUGAAAAUUCUGAAGAAAUACAAUAAAGUGAAUUAUUUUUUGGAGUAUACCAACGUUAUGAAAAUAUUGAAAGGAGAAGAAAGAGGAAAAAUAGAGGAGUAAAAUAUAGGAGAUUUCCUCACCACCCCCACUCCCCACCUUUAUUAAAGAGAGCCACAAAAACCAUGAAGGUGUGUUUAUGAGGUCAUAUGAGAGAAGGAAGAAAAAGUGUGAGAAAAUUUAACAUUUGCAAAUUGGAAGCAGAAGCUGGAGGCCAUCUGGAGCAGCAAUGUGCCUCCUCAUUACCUUAUCUCCCAAUACGAAAGGAAGCAGAAACAAAGGCCAGGGUUUCUCCCUGAUCGGUAGCCAGACAACCAGCUAUAAAGGAGAAAAGAUAUAACUACCCUGGAGGAACAUAUAAAAGAUUUCUACUACAUUGAGAGAGAAAGGUUACUGAUCAGUGCACUGUGGUUUACAUUUUUUUUAAAUAUCUCAAACAUAUCAAAGAAAGCAAGAGGAGAGUAAGGAAUGCUAAAACAGAAGUAUCGUAGACAAAAUACUAAAACUUAAAUAUAUUUGAUCCUCAUUUGACCUAAUGAAUAGUAAAAUUAUAAAGAGGUAAUAAAUAAAAGGGUAAAUUUAAAAAAAAAAAAAACAGAAAUAAAAGAGGAACGGAAAGCAUCAUUAAGUAUUUUCCUCACCAUCAGAAGGUAAAAACUAUAAGGAGGAAAAUAGAAUCUCAGACAAUGAAAUGACAAAAUAAUCUUCAAUUUGAAACUGCAAAACUCCAUUGCAGAAAGCCUCUGAUUACAUUAGAAGAAUGUCUUUGCUGGUUGCCUGCAGUGGUUCCAGGCUCAGAUUGCUGUAAAGAUUUAUAGGAAAAGUUUGUUUCUCUUCCCCAGAUCAUGGCAGUCAAGAUAAUACAAUGCCUUUGAGAUUUUUAUCAAAAGUGAACCACAGCAGCCACUAAACUCUCUAAUUUAGAGAUUAGAAUCACCCAAGGAGCUACUAAGGAUCUGAUUCACAUGAUCCCUCCUUACCAGGGAUGCUAUUUCAUUAUCUGAGAAAGAGGCCCAGGGAUUCACAUUUUUACUAGUAUCUAAGGUGAUCCUAGAACAGGGGGCUCCUGAAUCUCGC